rnacentral:lncRNA from 1 species
AUGAAUUAGAGAACAACAUGGAGUUUUGGCUGGAUCACUUCCUAUAACAAGGUGCACUAAGUCAUUCAAUAAGUUGGCACACACUUUUAGCUUAAGUGUGUCCUUUGGGCACUUACCCUUUGAUGAUGGGGUGGAUGGGGUGGAUGGGGUUGAUGGGGUAGAGGGGGUAGAGGGGGUAGGGGUAGGCUUAGGGUGGGGCUUGGAAUGACCCUUUGAUGGGGUGGGUGGGCAUGGAACAUUAGUGGAACUAACCAUAGUGAAGAAAAGAAUGUUCAAAGUGAGAAGAAGGGCAAUGGAAGAUAUAGCAAACUUAGCCAUUUCUAGAGUUGAGUAAUUAGCACUCUCAACAAUUGAAUGUGGCUAAUUAGUG